CCUUCGAUAGCUCAGUUGGUAGAGCGGAGGACUGUAGUGGAUAGGGCGUGGCAAUCCUUAGGUCGCUGGUUCGAUUCCGGCUCGAAGGA
rnacentral:tRNA from 2 species